UAUCCAGGUGAACCCAGUGUAAUCACGAGGGCCUUUAAAGGGAGGGCAGAGUCAGAGAAUGUGAUGAGGGAAGCGAAAGUCUCCUGAUUCGAGGAAGGGCCAGGACCCUGGCGGGCUGGCCGGCUCUAGAAGCUGGAAAAGACAAGGCAAUGGAUGCUUCUUUAGAACAUCCAGACCGAAUGCAGCUGGGCUGACACCUUGAUUUCAGGACUUCUGAUCUCCAGAACGCAUGCAUACACGAAUAUACUGACUCUUCUUUGCCGAGGCCGAUGGCUGGCUGGAAGACAGUGUGGAUGGACUUCCUUUCCAGUUCGGUGUGUAAGAGGAUUAGAAGUCGCUACUCCAUCCUAAGGACAAGUAAAAAGCUGAACAGACUGAAAAAUCAACAACUGUCUUCCGUCCCUAAGAGCGAGGAACCCAGGGCAAACCGCAGACCCCAGGCUGGAGGAACAGCCUUGCUGUGUGCAGUGAACGAGCUUCCUGUAACUCCCACAGAAGCAGACAAGGGAAGCAGGCCCCUGAGGUGGGAUGCUGCCGGAGUGAUGGAGUUCUACAAGCGCAGCUGAACUGCAGGAACUGACAAAUUGGCCCAAAUUAUUUGCCUUACUAGGUUUGAAUGAAAAGAUAGACUCCUGAAGUCGGAUGAUGAAUUAGAAGAGGAUGAACCAUCUGGUCCGGUGAAUAUUUUGUGCCAGUAAAAACUGUACCCUGGCUUCAAUGUCAAGCAUCAGGGUACAAGGAUUAGAGGUGGACUUUAACUUCACCUAUCUAUUUCAGUGAGACACUUUUUGGCUGUACACAAAUUCAUAGACCAUUUGCAAUAGAUCUUCACAGAGAUGAGGCACUUCAAAGACCUUUCUUUGGUCUCCCAUGGAAUUCUUUAGCAUAUGUCACACGGAGUUGCUCUGUUGCUCUAGUCUCCGUUUGGAGUGUAUUGUUGAUAUGUUGCUACAGCCGGGGAACUGAUUGCGGCUUUAAUUUUUGUUCUUAGAAGCAGCUGGUCUUAUGCCAAUAUUAACAGUGCUUUCAUCCUUAAGGCUGUAAGGCACUCCAGCAUACAGUCAUAUGAGCUGCUGACUCCAUUGUGAUAAGUCCUUUCUCAAUAGGCCCUUUGGGGUUCUAUUCAAUCACACGUUCACUCAAAGGAUUUUAACAGCAUAGGCCAAAAUUAGACAUCUUGUUUGACUAAUUAUAAACAAUAUAUUAUCUUCUAUUCUGCAAUUAAUUUCAAUUCAGAAGUAAACUUAGCAACACAUACGCCCCUAGUAGUAGUUCUCAAAGAGCACUCCCUGAAUUGGAAGCAUUAGAAUAACCUUGUCACUUGUUAGAAAUAAAAAUUCUUGGGUCCACUACCGAGUGAUUGUGAUGUGUGCUGAAGUUUAAGAGCAGACCUCCUCACACGUUCCAUGUCACAACUGCACAUGACAACUCACUCAUUUCUGAUUUUGCUUUACAAUUGCACACCUUUUUGCCUUCACUUAAAUUGUUUCUUCUGCCUGAACAGUCCUCUUCCACAGUUUCAGAUGUUCACUCAUUCUAUCCAGUUGUAUCUAGCUUUCUCCAAUCAGUAUCAUGGGCUCCUCACUCUAUGCAUGUAAAGUAUUUCGCUUCUAUAACUUAGCUUAUGUCACGCCUUGUGUAAAGUUAUUUGUGUUCAUGGUUGCCCCCCACUGUGGUAGAUUGCAAGGUUUACUUGCAGUGACAGCGUACUAUUCAUCUGUUUUCUGUACUAUUCAACUGUUUGGUCUUAGUUUCC